ACUGUCGUUGAGAGAUGGGGCUGUUGCCAUUGCAGGCACCGGGACAUGAAUGGAGAGCUUCGACUAGCCACAACACUUCAAGCAGCAGUGGCGUAAAGGACUCUCUUUACGAUGAGCUUCCACUCAUCUAUAUAGUUCUGUUAUGUUAGUUAAAUUUAUAACAAUGAUAAGGUGCCGUGUCGACCGUCUAAAAUGAAACUAGAGCAGAUGCUGGAUGCCUCCACUCCAUUGCACAGGGAUAGAAGACAAUCUACGGCAAGACAUCUCAAGCUGUUUGCCAGGGGUGUGCAACUUACCCUCUUACGUUAAGGGAAGAACGCAACUUGAGGGUGUUUGAGGACAAGAUGCUGGGGGAAAAGUUUGGACCGCAGACGGAAGCUGGAAGAAGUUACACAAUUAGGAGCUUCGUAAUUUGUAGGCUAUUCUUUAAGUACGCUUAGUUUUAUCAUGGUCAGAUCGAGGAGAAUGAAAAAAGCGGGACAUGUAGUCAGAAUUUUGAAGGUAAGUUGUCACUCGGAAAACAUAGGAUCUUAAGAAAGUAGGGUGUGAGGAUUGCAUUCAUCUGGCUGAGGGUAGGGACCCAUGGCGGGCUCCCGUGUGGUUUCGUAAAAGGUGAUGGAUGCCCUGGUUAACUGAGCAAAUAUCAGGUUCACAAGACGCACUCUGCUUCCUGGAGCUGUUAAUAUUCUGCACUUCAACAUUUAUCGAUAUGAUAAACAUUAAAAAAUACAUCGGGAGGUUACUACCGAGUUUAUGUUGUUUGACGUCUAUACUCCAUUUAGCUUUGUAAAAGAACAUCAGUGCCAUUUACUUAUGUAAAAUGGCAAAGAAUUCGUCUGGGAAAUAUUUGUAUUCGAGUGAAAUCAGUCUAUCUCUACAUUUUGUUUUUAUUACGCCAGAAUAAGAUGUCAGUGGACUUGGCAAGGUUCAUAUGUUGGUAAUUCCGAUAUUUAAACAUGUGAUUCUAAUUUCCAUUAGAGGAAGUAGCAACGUGCAUUUCAGAACAUCUCCCCUUUUAAUUAGCUCUGCGAUAGCAUAAAUAGAUGCCAAUCUAACAAUCAAUCUUCCUAUUACAACGCCCGUUGUCAGUGUCAAUGUAUUCGGGGUGAAGAAAACGAAAAUUAAGAAACAUCGUACGAAGAUACCUCCUGAGCAAUGCAAAUGCAGAACAAACUGCCUCUCGGCUCCUUCAGGGGUCGGAAUUACAGUGGGAUAGCUCGUCCAGCAUCUGGGCUUGCCUGAAAAUAAUAUGUGGCAUCCUGUCCCACACUGAUCAAUGUAUUCCUGUGUCUUGUCCCUUGUGUUGAAUGUGUUGAUGUUUAUUCUGCUUUUGCAUGCAGGCACUGUGUGGAAGUUAGCUGAAUUCCCGAUGUUUCAGA